AUCUAAUUAUUACUAACUGAUGCAUUCUUGUUUUGACAUAUGGCAUAAAUCUCAAAUCCUACUCUUUUAUUUCUUUUUUAUUUCAUACAUAUUUAAAUGUUAGGUUAAGAAUGAAUCAAGAUGAUUCAUAUUAUAGUAACCAACAUAUUCAAUACUUUCAAAUGAAGAAAAAUAAUUGGCAUCUUCAUUUGAAAGUAUUGAAUAUGUUGGUUACUAUAAUAUGAAUUCAUUCUUAACCUAACAUUUAAACAAAUAACAAAAAUUGAUAGUUAUCUAGGAAAGAGAAAAUUUAAAUACAAGAAUAUGACUGGUCACUGGACGCAAUCGUUUUAUACAAAAAUAUAAUAUUGUGAAUGUAAACAACUUUUCAAAUUAUAAUAUCAAACUAAAAUUUAAAUUUAAAAAAUGUAUUACUAAAAUUUAUGGUAAAAAAUAAUUAGAAUCUCAUUAGGAAAAUAAUGGAGUCUUCAAAAAUCUUGAAUGGUCUACAGAUUAAAAGAAUCAAA
rnacentral:sRNA from 1 species